AGGCGGUUAGCUCAGUUGGUAGAGCACGUCCUUCACACGGACGGGGUCGUUGGUUCGAGUCCAAUACCGCCUACCA
rnacentral:tRNA from 3 species